UUUACUCCAUACUCCCCUGGUCAUCUAACUCCGCGGGACUCCUGGGCCUCCAGGGCUUCGGAGCCGGGGCCUCUUCCCAGGCUGGCCUCGAUCCCGUUCCUUAAAGGUCCAAUUCAGACUUGCCCUGUCCUGGUGGUCUAGCGGGCGCCUGCGCUUUUUUCCCAGCAGCCGCUCAGGCCUGGGCUUUCGGAAUCAACUCCCAGACGCAAAACUUUCCCUCUUCUCUCCUCCCCUCUCCUGGCUCUGGCUCCAACUUUGCGCUCUGCACCUCCAGCCACGCGAACAGACUCUGGCAAUCUUCGAAGCGCUUUACUUUAGAAACAACUCCAAGGAGUCUCAGGGCUCCGACUCCGGGAAGCCUAGGGCGCGUACCUUGGGGAGCUGACCCUAGCGGCGGGGGUCCCCCGCCCUGCCCGUCCACCUCGCCGCUUCCCAGCCGAGAACAGUGUCGCUGAAGGACUUGGCUGUGAGGAGCUGAGUUUACAAGUGUGAGUAUACUGAAUAUUAGGUAAAGCUCGGCACAUGCCUGCUGCAUUUCGUGACUGUCACACCAGAGACUGUGCCGCAUGGUAAGGAAGCAUAAAGACAGAGCAGGACACAUAAAUGUAGCAGUCAUUCGUUUCACCCGCCCAAAGCAUCCUUGUCGAUUUUCUUCUCAUUUUUUCCCCCUGCAGGAUUUGUCUAUUUGUGUUAAUUUGGAGGGCUUUUCCUGUGACGGUCCCUAAUUUCCCCCAUAGUUUGAGCCGGUCACCAUCAUCAUAAAGACGAAGGACUCUCCCCACCCCUAGGAGGCUCUUUGUUGGGCACCCAGUCUCCAGCUCUGGGUCUGUGGCUCUGCAGGCUUUAUCUUGCUCUUUCUUCAGGAAAAGGACUUCCCUGACCCCACCCUCUACUACCUGACUGAACCUGGAGCUCCUUAUUCCUCACUAGUUGUUCUAGAGAGUCACUGAGACACACCACUUCAAGCACACACAAGCUUGGCCCCACCACUCACACACUCUGGUUCAGUCCGACCACUGGAGAGGAGUCCACCUGGGGCUCCGGCCUCACGGUCUGUUUCCGGUUUCCUGUUUUCCCCUGUUUCCUCACGGUCAGAGAGAGAUUAAAAACUGGCUACCUACUUUUAGCUUAUCUGAAUUCUGCCAAUGUCUCGCAAGACUUGUUUAUGUAUUAUCUAUAGUGAACACAGCUGAUGAAUUUUGCCCAUCCUGUUUGCUUUUCUUGGCCUCUGUAGAAGAAUUUAAUAUUUUCCCAUAAUGGAGCAAACACACACUCUCCCCAACAUUAUAGAGAAGAGUCUGGAAGUGUGGGGUUGGAACUUAGAGACAAGGGUAAUGUCCUGGCAAGAAUGUCCGCUGUGAGGAUUAAAGAUGUGGUGAUCCCAAACAUCUCUGCCUCAUUCUCAAUUUUAAAGGCUAAUAUUCUAGUGUUUUCCCAACAUUUGCUUAAUUUUUUAUAUGUGCUUUGUAUCAUGCUAAACACGUUCCCUUCUAUUCCUCAUUUGCUGAAAGAUUUCUUUCUUUAAUAAUGAAUUUACUAUGAUUUUUAAAAAUGUCUUACCUAGAUCUAUCGGAAUGAUACACAUUUUCUUCUUUAAUAUGGUAGUACAGUAAAUUACAUUUAUAGAUUUUUCUAACAUUAAACCAACUUUGCAUUAAGCCCAACUUUGUCAUGGUUUAUUAUCAUUUUUAUAAACUGUAGAAUUUAAUUUGAAGUCCAAUGUUCUAUUUAUGAUUUUUGCUUCUGUAUUCAUAAAUGAAAUGAGCCUGUAUUUUUUCCUCCAUCACUAUGUCAUUGUUUGAUUUGGUGUUGGGUUAUAAAAUCCUUAUAAACUGA